ensembl:rRNA 5S_rRNA 5S ribosomal RNA
AAAUAUGGCCUUACCACCAUGGAAACACCCGAUUUCAUCUGAUCUCGGAAGCUAAGCAUGGUUGGGCCUGGUUAGUACCUGGAUGGGAGACCGCCUGGGAAUACCAGGUGCUGUAAUUG